rnacentral:rRNA from 1 species
AUUGAACGCUGGCGGCAGGCCUAACACAUGCAAGUCGAGCGGCUGCAGAGUGAUAGCUCCUGGAUUCGGCGGGGGACGGGCGGACAAUGGAGGGAAAUAUCGCAAGUAACGGUUGAUAGGGUGAGAACAUGGGGGCACUUACGCCAAUAGCGCAGACGACGUACGGGUGAGAUCAUGGGAUCUUCGGACAUUGCACGAGCCAAUGACGCGAGAUCGGAUUAGCUAGUUGGCGGGGUAAAGGCCCACCAAGGCGACGAUCCGUAACUGGUCUGAGAGGAUGAUCAGCCACACUGGAACUGAGACACGGUCCAGACUCCUACGGGAGGCAGCAGUGGGGAAUAUUGGACAAUGGGCGAAAGCCUGAUCCAGCCAUGCCGCGUGUGUGAAGAAGGUCUUCGGGUUGUAAAGCACUUUUGUUUGGGAAGAAGGGCAGUAAGUUAAUACCUUGCUGUUUUGACGGUACCCAAAGAAUAAGCACCGGCUAACUUCGUG